CAAUAGCGUAUAUUUAAGUUGUUGCAGUUAAAAAGCUCGUAGUUGGAUUUCGGAUGGGAUUUGCCGGUCCGUCGUUACGAUGUGCACUGGCCAGUCCUAUCUUGUUGUCGGGGACUAGCUCCUUGGAUUCACUUCCUGGGACUAGGAGCUGACGAGGUUACUUUGAGUAAAUUAGAGUGUUCAAAGCAAGCCUACGCUCUGAAUACAUUAGCAUGGAAUAACACGAUAGGACUCUGGCUUAUCUUGUUGGUCUGUGAGACCAGAGUAAUGAUUAAGAGGGACAGUCGGGGGCAUUCGUAUUUCAUUGUCAGAGGUGAAAUUCUUGGAUUUAUGAAAGACGAACUUCUGCGAAAGCAUUUGUCAAGGAUGUUUNCAUUAA
rnacentral:rRNA from 1 species